UACAGAGGUGGCAAGCGUUGUUCGGAAUUACUGGGCGUAAAGGGCGCGUAGGCGGCCUACUAAGUCAGACGUGAAAUCCCCCGGCUUAACCUGGGGACUGCGCUUGAUACGGCAGUGCUAGAGGACGGAAGAGGGUCGUGGAAUUCCCAGUGUAGAGGUGAAAUUCGUAGAUAUUGGGAAGAACACCGGUGGCGAAGGCGGCGACCUGGUCCGUUACUGACGCUGAGGCGCGACAGCGUGGGGAGCAAACAGG
rnacentral:rRNA from 1 species